rnacentral:lncRNA from 1 species
CUCCCCUUUUCAUGCAUUUAAACCAAAUCUAGUUAAUAGCACAAAUAACAUUAAAGAAAUACUAGUUCCCCUCCUCCCAGCCACCAGCCUUCACAGCAGCGAGUGUGGUCCCCGGGCCAGCAGCAUGGGCAUCACCUGAGAGCUUGUUGGAGAUGCAAAUUCCACCCUAGGCCUCAGAGGCCAGGGGUGGGGCCCAGCCAGGUGUGUUUUACGCCUGCCAGGUGAUUGUGAUGCACGGUAAAGUUUGGGAACCACAGGUUUACUAGUUACUAGUGCUCCACAUACAGUAUCCCAGCAGCAACUCAACACAACCUUUUCCUACAUGCUGCUGGACCCUGGACCACACUCUGGGAAGCACUGACCUGCCCCCCAGCCAGUUGUGCGCAGCUGUCCUCGGCAGGGACUCUGGGGGACUCUGAACUGUGUUCACAUCCCUGGCUCAGCCACCUUCUAGCAAUAAGACCAAGGAUGAGUUCCUUCACCAGCACGAGCUUCAGGAUCAUCAUCAGCUAAUGGGCACAGGAACACCGGUGCAACAAUGAAAUCAAAAUGAACACAAAACCCCUUGUUGAGGGUGUGGCUCAUAAUGAGCUGCCAUAAAAGCUACUCAUUGUCAUUAUUAUUCACUGCCUAGUCUACCCCACAACCCUCAGUGUUUCUAGUCAGCAACCCCAUCUAGCCUGUUUGUUUUCCUCUGAACUAUGUACCUUCGGUUUUUCCACGCGGCCAAGUGCUUUCAUCGUUUAGCGUUUUAUUCAAGUGAU